rnacentral:antisense_RNA from 1 species
CUUGAGCGAGCCGAGCCACACCGGCCUUUCGGCUGAGUGUUCUUGGCCGUACGUGGCGAUGAGGGCUUGCGCCUC